rnacentral:rRNA from 1 species
CUUUGAUUCUGGCUCAGGACGAACGCUGGCGGCGUGCCUAACACAUGCAAGUCGAACGGAGCUCCGCCCUUCGGGACGGAACUUAGUGGCGAACGGGUGAGUAACGCGUGAAGAACCUGCCUUUCAGUGGGGGACAACAGUCGGAAACGACUGCUAAUACCGCAUGAUGUUCUUUGGGGGCAUCUCUAAGGAACCAAAGCUUAAUGUGCUGAAAGAUGGCUUCGCGUCUGAUUAGCUAGUUGGCGGGGUAACGGCCCACCAAGGCGACGAUCAGUAGCCGGUCUGAGAGGAUGAACGGCCACAUUGGGACUGAGAUACGGCCCAGACUCCUACGGGAGGCAGCAGUGGGGAAUAUUGGGCAAUGGGGGAAACCCUGACCCAGCAACGCCGCGUGAAGGAAGAAGGCCUUCGGGUUGUAAACUUCUUUUACCAGGGACGAAGGACGUGACGGUACCUGGAGAAAAAGCAACGGCUAACUACGUGCCAGCAGCCGCGGUAAUACGUAGGUUGCAAGCGUUGUCCGGAUUUACUGGGUGUAAAGGGCGUGUAGGCGGAGGCGCAAGUUGGGAGUGAAAUCUAUGGGCUCAACCCAUAAACUGCUCUCAAAACUGUGCCCCUUGAGUAUCGGAGAGGCAAGCGGAAUUCCUAGUGUAGCGGUGAAAUGCGUAGAUAUUAGGAGGAACACCAGUGGCGAAGGCGGCUUGCUGGACGACAACUGACGCUGAGGCGCGAAAGCGUGGGGAGCAAACAGGAUUAGAUACCCUGGUAGUCCACGCUGUAAACGAUGAAUACUAGGUGUGGGAGGACUGACCCCUUCCGUGCCGCAGUUAACACAAUAAGUAUUCCACCUGGGGAGUACGACCGCAAGGUUGCAACUCAAAUGAAUUGACGGA